CUGUUUUCUGAAGUUCCAUGGCCAAAGCUGUAAAGGGAUGCUCAAGAGGAGGGAUGAUCACUGUUGAAUCAGCACCUGGGCCCUUAUCUGCCAUGGUCACCUCAGGCCUUGUCUGUGGCUUCAGAGUCUGUCGCCAGGAGGGACUCUGGCCACUUAACCACCAACGACUCACUCUCAAGCCAGGACAUCCCAAUACCACCCCAAAGACAUCGCCUCAGUCUGUGAGCAGAUAAGGAAUCAGAAGCUCAAAGCAAGUAAGGGGUUUACCCAAGAGCUCAUGAGAAGCAAGUUAAAGAGCUGGGACUGCAAGAGACAGAGGGAUGCCUCAAGGCAUGACCUGGUGGCCUGGAAUUCCCUCUCAGACCUAGAACGCCCUGCUUUCCAGUAUCACUUCUGGUUAACUAAG